CGGAAUCGAACCUGGGACCCUUGAGUCCCCAGGCCGACGCUCUAUCCAUUGAGCCAAACCAGUUAGGGCGAGACUGCUUUCUGUAUAUAUCCAGGACCUAACUCCUCAACCCUGUCACAUUCCGGCAAUUCUGUAAAACUCUACCAUGGACCACAGUCCCAAGAAUUCCUGAACACAGACAUGGAGUGAAGCCUGUGAACACCUGUGAACAACCCACACUUCCCAUUGAUGCUCACAAGGUGCUGAGCAUAACAAGAGAGACCAGGAAGCUGCUUCUCAGACUUCUCUAUCAAAUCAGCAGUCCCCGUAAUAUCAGAAUGAGGACAUGAACUUGACAGAUGAAGAGCCAGAGAGGGGACUUGACUUGCUCAAGGUCACACCAUCUAGAACUCAGGUUUCCUGACUCAGUUCAUUGGCUCGAAGGAACAGCCAUUAUUCAGCAAAGACAUAAUAUUGUUUCAGACUUCCUUUAAGUUGUAAUGAAUCAUUUAACCAAACUCCGGUAAAUUUCACAAGAGCUUCUGGAAGCAAAGGUGCGGUAACAAGAAACCUAUGACAGCCCAGACCACAGCUACAUCACACUAUGGGUGUUUCCUACUGGGAAAGGGGAUUUGAUUGCUUUGGAGACAGCACAACACUGACGGCCUUUCCCCUGGGCAGAGAAUUAAAUAAACUCUGGGGCUUCUCCCUCAAAACACAUCACACAUGGUUAAAGUCUAUGUAUACAGUGCAGUUAACCUGUCGUAGAAAAGUUGGCAAUAAUCUUCAGACACUAGCACCAAAUAAAGGCUUCCAAAUUCUCA